GUGGCUUGGCGGCUGCUAUACAUGCAGUCGACGAGUUCUCGUUGAUGAUCGGUGCUUGCACCGAGAUUCAACAUGGAACGAGUGGCGGACGGGUGAGUAACACGUGGGUAACCUGCCCUUAAGUGGGGGAUAACAUUUGGAAACAGAUGCUAAUACCGCAUAGAUCCAAGAACCGCAUGGUUCUUGGCUGAAAGAUGGCGUAAGCUAUCGCUUUUGGAUGGACCCGCGGCGUAUUAGCUAGUUGGUGAGGUAAUGGCUCACCAAGGCGAUGAUACGUAGCCGAACUGAGAGGUUGAUCGGCCACAUUGGGACUGAGACACGGCCCAAACUCCUACGGGAGGCAGCAGUAGGGAAUCUUCCACAAUGGACGCAAGUCUGAUGGAGCAACGCCGCGUGAGUGAAGAAGGCUUUCGGGUCGUAAAACUCUGUUGUUGGAGAAGAAUGGUCGGCAGAGUAACUGUUGUCGGCGUGACGGUAUCCAACCAGAAAGCCACGGCUAACUACGUGCCAGCAGCCGCGGUAAUACGUAGGUGGCAAGCGUUAUCCGGAUUUAUUGGGCGUAAGCGAGCGCAGGCGGUUUUUUAAGUCUGAUGUGAAAGCCCUCGGCUUAACCGAGGAAGCGCAUCGGAAACUGGGAGACUUGAGUGCAGAAGAGGACAGUGGAACUCCAUGUGUAGCGGUGAAAUGCGUAGAUCUAUGGAAGAACACCAGUGGCGAAGGCGGCUGUCUGGUCUGUAACUGACGCUGAGGCUCGAAAGCAUGGGUAGCGAACAGGAUUAGAUACCCUGGUAGUCCAUGCCGUAAACGAUGAAUGCUAGGUGUUGGAGGGUUUCCGCCCUUCAGUGCCGCAGCUAACGCAUUAAGCAUUCCGCCUGGGGAGUACGACCGCAAGGUUGAAACUCAGAGGAAUUGACGGGGGCCCGCACAAGCGGUGGAGCAUGUGGUUUAAUUCGAAGCAACGCGAAGAACCUUACCAGGUCUUGACAUCUUUUGAUCACCUGAGAGAUCAGGUUUCCCCUUCGGGGGCAAAAUGACAGGUGGUGCAAGGUUGUCGUCAGCUCCUGUCGGGAAAUGUUGGGUUAAGUCCGUCAACGAGGGCAACCCUUUUUAACUAGUUGCCAACAUUUAAUUGGGGCCCUCCCGUAAGAAUGCGGGGAGAAACCGAAGAAAAGUGGGGAAAA
rnacentral:rRNA from 1 species